AUAAAUCCUGCUUUCAAAAAAAAAAAAAAUAGAAUGACUCAGAGAAGAUUAGCAUGCCCCCUACACAAGGAUGGCAUGCAAAUCUGUAAAGCAUUCCACAUUUUC
rnacentral:snRNA from 1 species